rnacentral:rRNA from 1 species
CUCCGGUUGAUCCCGCCGGACCUGACUGCUAUCGGAUUGGUACUAAGCCAUGCGAGUCAUUGUAGCAAUACAAGGCGGACGGCUCAGUAACACGUAGUCAACCUAACUCGUGGACGUGGAUAACCUCGGGAAACUGAGAAUAAACCACGAUAGAUCAUAGUGCCUGGAAUGGCUUAUGGUCCAAACAGUUUACUGCCAUGGGAUGGGACUGCGGCCUAUCAGCUUGUUGGUGAGGUAAUGGCCCACCAAGGCGAUUACAGGUACGGGCUCUGAGAGGAGAAGCCCGGAGAUGGGUACUGAGACACGGACCCAGGCCCUAUGGGGCGCAGCAGGCGAGAAACCUUAGCAAUGUGCGAAAGCACGACUGGGUCAGUCCGAGUGAUUCCUGAUAAAGGAGUCUUUUGCUUGUCCUAAAAGCACAGGUGAAUAAGGGGUGGGCAAGUCUGGUGUCAGCCGCCGCGGUAAUACCAGCACCUCGAGUGGUCAGGACGUUUAUUGGGCCUAAAGCAUCCGUAGCCGGCCCUGCAAGUCUUCGGUUAAAUCCACCUGCUCAACAGAUGGGCUGCUGGAGAUACUACAGAGCUAGGGAGUGGGAGAGGCAGACGGUAUUCAGUGGGUAGGGGUAAAAUCCUCUGAUCCAUUGAGGACCACCAGUGGCGAAGGCGGUCUGCCAGAACACGUUCGACGGUGAGGGAUGAAAGCUGGGGGAGCAAACCGGAUUAGAUACCCGGGUAGUCCCAGCUGUAAACGAUGCAGACUCGGUGAUGGGCUAGCCUUGUGCCAGCCCAGUGCCGCAGGGAAGCCGUUAAGUCUGCCGCCUGGGGAGUACGGUCGCAAGACUGAAACUUAAAGGAUUGGCGGGGGAGCA